rnacentral:rRNA from 1 species
UACGGGGGGAGCAAGCGUUGUUCGGAUUUACUGGGCGUAAAGGGCGCGUAGGCGGCGCAACAAGUCACUUGUGAAAUCUCCGGGCUUAACUCGGAACGGUCAAGUGAUACUGUUGUGCUAGAGUGCGGAAGGGGCAACUGGAAUUCUCGGUGUAGCGGUGAAGUGCGUAGAUGUCGAGAGGAACACCUGCGGCGAAGGCGGGUUGCUGGGCCGACACUGACGCUGAUGCGCGAAAGCCAGGGGAG